AGCCUGGAUUGAACGUGAAUAGGGGUUAGCUCUUGAUUUUUCAUUAAGAAACACACUGGCAGCUAAUGCAAUGGUUUUACAGCUGCAAUGUUCUCUCUCAAGAGUUUUUCUAGAGUCCAAUCCUGCUGAUGAGUUCUGCAUCUACUGAAGUUUAUGGACUAGGCAGAAAGAGAGCCCCACAUAGAAGAUUUCAACUUUAUCAGGGAUGUUUCCUGGAUUGUGAAGAAGAUGGACAUAACAGCAGCUUUCUUCCAGGCAUCGUCACUUGCUUGAGAGACCGAAGGAUAUACAAGUCACAGAAAAGCUCAGAGAUAUCAGCUGAAUGGGAACCUAAGAAAAUGUUCAAAAUCAACUCAUAUAAAGCAGAACUGCUGUUGUUCUUUUUAUUUCAGAGAUGGAGUCUUGCUUCCAGCUAUGUUUUCACUGAUUCCUCUACUUAUCUUCUACUGUCAACACUAUGAUUUAUAA